rnacentral:rRNA from 1 species
CCCUUAGAUGUUCUGGGCCGCACGCGCGCUACACUGAUAAUGUCAACAAGCUUUACCUUGGCCGAUAGGUCUGGGCAAUCUUCGAACUAUUAUCAUGAUGGGGCUAGAUUAUUGCAACUAUUAAUCUUAAACGAGGAAUUCCUAGUAAGCGCGAGUCAUCAGCUCGCGUUGAUUACGUCCCUGCCCUUUGUACACACCGCCCGUCGCUCCUACCGAUUGGAUUGGCUGGUGAAGCGUUCGGAUUGUGGGUUCGGAGCGGUUCGCCGUUCUGGGCUUGCGAGAAGUUCGUUAAACCCUCCUAUCUAGAGGAAGGAGAAGUCGUAACA